GGCGAAUAAAAUUUAAUCCAGUCUACCGAGACCAAUCCAAAAUUGUUCAUAUAUUUCAUACCAACCCCAAAAAUUUAGCCAUCAUGCUACCAUAGUGUCAUAAGCCACAAUUUCAAUAACAUAUAAAAUCAUAAAUUUCAACACAAUCUCCAUAUACUCAAUUUUCCCAAAACAAUAUUUGAUUUCAAAAUCAGUAUAAAUCUCAUUUUUAUUAAAAAAAAUAUUUUAAUUGGAAAACAUAAUAUUUUAUAAUUUAA
rnacentral:lncRNA from 1 species